rnacentral:rRNA from 1 species
UACGAAGGGGGCUAGCGUUGCUCGGAAUUACUGGGCGUAAAGGGAGCGUAGGCGGAUAGUUUAGUCAGAGGUGAAAGCCCAGGGCUCAACCUUGGAAUUGCCUUUGAUACUGGCUAUCUUGAGUACGGAAGAGGUAUGUGGAACUCCGAGUGUAGAGGUGAAAUUCGUAGAUAUUCGCAAGAACACCAGUGGCGAAGGCGGCUUACUGGUCCGGAUCUGACGCUGAGGCGCGAAAGCGUGGGGAGCAAACAGG